rfam:Nadsonia fulvescens var. elongata DSM 6958 unplaced genomic scaffold NADFTscaffold_1, whole genome shotgun sequence.
GGCUUCCUGGCCAAGUUGGUUAAGGCGGGCGACUGCUAAUCUUGAGGUUGAGAGUUCAACGCUCUCAGAGGUCU